UGGGAGGUGGCAUAGUGGCAAUAGCACUGGCCUUGGAAGCAUGAGGUCCUGAGUUCUAUUCUUAGCAUCUCUC
rnacentral:tRNA from 1 species